rnacentral:tRNA from 1 species
GCCUUCGUAGUACAUAAAAUACCUUGGUCUUGUAAACCAAAAAAGGAGAAUACCCAUCCUCCCUAAGGCU